rnacentral:misc_RNA from 1 species
AAAAAAACUCCCCCCAACCCAAAAGAAAAUAAAUAAUAAUUCAACUACAUAAGAUACAUAUUAGAUAAUGGAUAUCCCUUCAGGCAACUUUAACUACAGUGCAAUGUAAAUUUGGCACAAAUUCCAAAAAAUCCAUUGUGAGCAUCGACGGUCUUGGCCGCCGUGGCAGUGGAUCGUAACUUGUAUAUUCUGCGUUUGUUACCGGCGAUUUAACAUUUACUGCCGUCCGUUCCACUGUUUUAAGCCAUUUAGCUUGCAUGUACUUUUGUUUCCGCCAUGGUGCAACGUGUAUUUUCUUCACCUUCAUGCAUUUCUUAGCACCAUUGCACAAAAUCUUUAUUACUGACAAUAAUCUCUCUAUUUUCCCUACAAACACUUCUGGUAGGCAUUUCACUAGUCGAUUGUAUCCUUCACUUGCUUUUGCUAAUUCAAAUUCACAUCGAAAAUUUAAUUCUAUAAUUAUUCUGACUUCUCCUUUUUUAAGGCUCGAGUUAUCCACCACGUCUAUAAAUGUAUGUUCACCUGAGGGAAUAUCCGGUGAGCUUUUCCAUUUAGAUUUACAAAUUGCUGAGUUAAACCCAGCAUUUUGUAAACGACUGGACACCUCUUUCAUAAGACAGUUGCGGCAGCCAUCUCCGACCAUUUUCCGGCAAGAGCAAACAUUUUCCGAUUGCUUUGUUUCUUUAGUAAUGCUUCGGAUUUGUGAUUCCAACGAUGUUGUUCGGCAUAAUACAGAUUGUAAAAGUUGAUGUUGAUUUUCCCAAAAUUGAUUGUCUUCAACAUUUUCUUUGUUUUCGUUGUCGUCAUCAUCGUCCUCGUCAUCUCGAUUAUUAACAUAAACAUCGUCGUUAAUACUUUCCGGUGACGAACUUUGAACCUCCUCAUCCAAAAAGCUGAAAACUGUAUCGGAAUUGUUUAUAGUAGGCUCACCGGAAAUCUCAAUUUCCCGGUGGUCCCACGUCAAAAUCCGGUGAUUUAGAGGUUUCCGAGCCAUAACUCCGACCAUUAUUGUAAUAUAAAUUAUUAAAAUGAGAGGUAGAUAGAAAAUAGAAAA